rnacentral:rRNA from 1 species
UUGACAUGUCCGGAAUCCCGAAGAGAUUUGGGAGUGCUCGCAAAGGAGAACCGGAACACAGGUGCUGCAUGGCUGUCGUCAGCUCGUGUCGUGAGAUGUUGGGUUAAGUCCCGCAACGAGCGCAACCCUUGUCAUUAGUUGCCAUCAUUUGGUUGGGCACUCUAAAUGAGACUGGCCGGUGACAACCGGAGGAAGGUGGGGAUGACGUCAAGUCCUCAUGGCCCUUAUCGGUAGGGCUUCACACGUCAUACAAUGGUCGGUACAGAGGGUUGCCAACCCGCGAGGGGGAGCUAAUCCCACAAAGCCGAUCGUAGUCCGGAUCGCAGUCUGCAACUCGACUGCGUGAAGUCGGAAUCGCUAGUAAUCGUGGAUCAGCAUGUCACGGUGAAUACGUUCCCGGGUCUU